UGGGGAAUUUUGGACAAUGGGCGAAAGCCUGAUCCAGCAAUGCCGCGUGUGUGAAGAAGGCCUUCGGGUUGUAAAGCACUUUUGUCCGGAAAGAAAUCCUCUGGGUUAAUACCUCGGGGGGAUGACGGUACCGGAAGAAUAAGCACCGGCUAACUACGUGCCAGCAGCCGCGGUAAUACGUAGGGUGCAAGCGUUAAUCGGAAUUACUGGGCGUAAAGCGUGCGCAGGCGGUUUUGUAAGACGGAUGUGAAAUCCCCGGGCUUAACCUGGGAACUGCAUUCGUGACUGCAAGGCUAGAGUAUGGCAGAGGGGGGUUAGAAUUCCACGUGUAGCAGUGAAAUGCGUAGAGAUGUGGAGGAAUACCGAUGGCGAAGGCAGCCCCCUGGGCCAAUACUGACGCUCAUGCACGAAAGCGUGGGGAGCAAACAGGAUUAGAUACCCUGGUAGUCCACGCCCUAAACGAUGUCAACUAGUUGUUGGGGAUUCAUUUCCUUAGUAACGUAGCUAACGCGUGAAGUUGACCGCCUGGGGAGUACGGUCGCAAGAUUAAAACUCAAAUGAAUUGACGGGGUCAUAGCUGUUUCC
rnacentral:rRNA from 1 species